rnacentral:rRNA from 1 species
UAGCAUAUCAAUAAGCGGAGGAAAAGAAACCAACAGGGAUUGCCCUAGUAACGGCGAGUGAAGCGGCAACAGCUCAAAUUUGAAAUCUGGCCCUUGGGUCCGAGUUGUAAUUUGUAGAGGAUGCUUUUGGUGAGGUGCCUUCCGAGUUCCCUGGAACGGGACGCCAUAGAGGGUGAGAGCCCCGUCUGGUUGGACACCGAGCCUCUGUAAAGCUCCUUCGACGAGUCGAGUAGUUUGGGAAUGCUGCUCUAAAUGGGAGGUAUAUGUCUUCUAAAGCUAAAUAUUGGCCAGAGACCGAUAGCGCACAAGUAGAGUGAUCGAAAGAUGAAAAGCACUUUGAAAAGAGGGUUAAAUAGUACGUGAAAUUGUUGAAAGGGAAGCGCUUAUGACCAGACUUGAGCCCGGUUAAUCAUCCAGCCUUCUGGCUGGUGCACUUGGCCGGCUCAGGCCAGCAUCAGUUCGGCGCGGGGGAUAAAGACUUCGGGAAUGUGGCUCCUCCGGGAGUGUUAUAGCCCGCUGUGUAAUACCCUGUACUGGACUGAGGUUCGCGCAUCUGCAAGGAUGCUGGCGUAAUGGUCAUCAGCGACCCGUCUUGAAACACGGACCAAGGAGUCGUCUUCGUAUGCGAGUGUUCGGGUGUCAAACCCCUACGCGUAAUGAAAGUGAACGCAGGUGAGAGCUUCGGCGCAUCAUCGACCGAUCCUGAUGUUCUCGGACGGAUUUGAGUAAGAGCAUACGGAGCCGGACCCGAAAGAAGGUGAACUAUGCCUGUAUAGGGUGAAGCCAGAGGAAACUCUGGUGGAGGCUCGCAGCGGUUCUGACGUGCAAAUCGAUCGUCAAAUAUGGGCAUGGGGGGCGAAAGACUAAUUGAACCUUCUAGUAGCUGGUUUCCCCA